UAGAGUUUGAUCAUGGCUCAGGAUGAACGCUGGCGGCGUGCCUAAUACAUGCAAGUCGAACGCUAGUCGCGGACCUGAUCACUUCGGUGAGACGUAAAGCAUAUGGCUAGAGUGGCGAACGGGUGAGUAACACGUGGACAACCUGCCUCUAAGCAGGGGAUAACAUUUGGAAACAGAUGCUAAUACCGUAUAACAACGCAUUUCGCAUGAAGUGUGUUUAAAAGGGGCUUCGGCCUCACUUAGAGAUGGAUCCGCGGUGCAUUAGUUAGUUGGUGAGGUAAAGGCUUACCAAGACGAUGAUGCAUAGCCGAGUUGAGAGACUGAUCGGCCACAUUGGGACUGAGACACGGCCCAAACUCCUACGGGAGGCUGCAGUAGGGAAUCUUCCACAAUGGGCGCAAGCCUGAUGGAGCAACGCCGCGUGUGUGAUGAAGGCUUUCGGGUCGUAAAGCACUGUUGUAUGGGAAGAAUAGUUAAUGUAGGAAAUGAUGUUAAUGUGACGGUACCAUACCAGAAAGGGACGGCUAAAUACGUGCCAGCAGCCGCGGUAAUACGUAUGUCCCGAGCGUUAUCCGGAUUUAUUGGGCGUAAAGCGAGCGCAGACGGUUCGUUAAGUCUGAAGUGAAAGCCCACAGCUCAACUGUGGAAUGGCUUUGGAAACUGGCGAACUUGAGUGCAGUAGAGGCAAGUGGAACUCCAUGUGUAGCGGUGGAAUGCGUAGAUAUAUGGAAGAACACCAGUGGCGAAGGCGGCUUGCUGGACUGUAACUGACGUUGAGGCUCGAAAGUGUGGGUAGCAAACAGGAUUAGAUACCCUGGUAGUCCACACCGUAAACGAUGAGUGCUAGGUGUUAGGAGGUUUCCGCCUCUUAGUGCCGGAGCUAACGCAUUAAGCACUCCGCCUGGGGAGUACGACCGCAAGGUUGAAACUCAAAGGAAUUGACGGGGACCCGCACAAGCGGUGGAGCAUGUGGUUUAAUUCGAAGCAACGCGAAGAACCUUACCAGGUCUUGACAUCCUUUGAAGAUGUUAGAGAUAAUAUUGUUCUCUUCGGAGACAAAGUGACAGGUGGUGCAUGGUCGUCGUCAGCUCGUGUCGUGAGAUGUUGGGUUAAGUCCCGCAACGAGCGCAACCCUUAUGUUUAGUUGCCAGCAUUUAGUUGGGCACUCUAGACAGACUGCCGGUGACAAACCGGAGGAAGGCGGGGAUGACGUCAGAUCAUCAUGCCCCUUAUGACCUGGGCUACACACGUGCUACAAUGGCGUAUACAACGAGUUGCGAACCGGCGACGGUAAGCUAAUCUCUUAAAGUACGUCUCAGUUCGGAUUGUAGUCUGCAACUCGACUACAUGAAGUCGGAAUCGCUAGUAAUCGCGGAUCAGCAUGCCGCGGUGAAUACGUUCCCGGGUCUUGUACACACCGCCCGUCACACCAUGAGAGUUUGUAACACCCAAAGCCGGUGGGCUAACCUUCGGGAGGUAGCCGUCUAAGGUGGGACAGAUGAUUAGGGUGAAGUCGUAACAAGGUAGCCGUAGGAGAACCUGCGGUUGGAUCACCUCCUUA
rnacentral:rRNA from 1 species